GAUGAAGAACGCAGCGAAAUGCGAUAAGUAGUGUGAAUUGCAGAAUUCAGUGAAUCAUCGAAUCUUUGAACGCACAUUGCGCCCCUUGGUAUUCCGGGGGGCAUGCCUGUCCGAGCGUCAUUGCUGCCCUCAAGCACGGCUUGUGUGUUGGGCUUCCGUCCCUGGCAACGGGGACGGGCCCAAAAGGCAGUGGCGGCACCAUGUCUGGUCCUCGAGCGUAUGGGGCUUUGUCACCCGCUCCCGUAGGUCCAGCUGGCAGCUAGCCUCGCAACCAAUCUUUUUAACCAGGUUGACCUCGGAUCAGGUAGGGAUACCCACUGAACUUAAGCAUAUCAAUAAGCGGAGGA
rnacentral:misc_RNA from 1 species